rnacentral:rRNA from 1 species
UACAGAGGUCUCAAGCGUUGUUCGGAUUCAUUGGGCGUAAAGGGUGCGUAGGUGGCGCUGUAAGUCGGGUGUGAAAUUUCGGAGCUUAACUCCGAAACUGCAUUCGAUACUGCGGUGCUUGAGGACUGGGGAGGAGACUGGAAUUCAUGGUGUAGCAGUGAAAUGCGUAGAGAUCAUGAGGAAGACCAGUGGCGAAGGCGGGUCUCUGGACAGUUCCUGACACUGAGGCACGAAGGCCAGGGGAGCAAACGGG